UAAUGCUUGAAUGCUUCGGGACCGUCGAUGGAUCCAGUGGGAAGGACCCUCAGACCCUGUCUUGUCGUCCUGUCUGCCCUGUCCCCACCUUCCAUGAAGAAGCUGAGGUCCAGAGAAGAGGCCGGGCUCACACGGUGCCAUGGGAUUGCGCUCCCAGCCUGACUCCCAGUGCAGUGCUCCUGCCCUUUCUGACCCUUCACCUGUCCAGUCAGCCAGGGGCGGGGAGGGACGGCAAGGCCAAGGCUAGGUCCCAGGCUGAGGACAGGUGUUCGCCAAGCUCCAGCCUUGUCUGGGUGCAGAAGUCUUUCCAUCCGGGCCAGGCCCCGGAGCCAGGGCACGGCGGAAAGGCAGCCGGAGGAGGCCCAAGCGCUCUUCAGGCAGCUAAGCUCACUCUGGACCUGCCUUUUAGGCACCAUCUGCCCCGGAAGAUUGAGAAAGCCUCGGAGUGGAUCUCCCUGUUGCCAGAUCUUCACAGAGGCCCAGAGCACAGGCUCCGGACGCGUAGGCUCAGCGGCCAUGGCUCACGGGCCCAGCCGCUCCACAGCAUGUGGGAUCCUCCUGGACCGGGGCACGAACCCGUGUGCCCUGCAUCGGCAGGCGGACUCUCAACCACUGUGCCACCAGGGAAGCCCUGCACAGAUUUUUAGAUGUCCACAGCCCCAGUAGAGGACUGGCUAACCUGAAAGCUGACCUCUCCCGGGAUAUGGCGAAGUGACAGCUGGACCACGGACACUGGAACACGAUGACCACAGUGACGCCGGCUCCUUUCCUAGUUCCCUAAGGAGCCUUGGGCCACGGCCUCUGCUGACUGGUCACAAUCCAGAAGAGUGGUUCUCAACCUGGCUGCACGCUCAGAUGACCUGAAGAACUUGGCCCACACCCUAGAAUGCAGGCCUCUGGAGAGAGGGAGGUGCUCUGAGAAGCAAGCUACAAUGCAGGGCAGGUCCUGGGGCACAGCUGCCUGGCUCCACACCCAGGACACGGGGAAGGCGUGGCGCGCUGUACUGGGAAGAAGGAGAGGUCUGCUCACCUAAGGAUGCCACAGCCCCGAAAGGAGCACCUUCCAGAA